GCAUGGGUAGCUUAAUUGUUAAAGCAUCAGCCUUGUAAGCUGAACAAUAAGGGUUAAAAUCCCUUCUAAUGCU
rnacentral:tRNA from 1 species